rnacentral:rRNA from 1 species
UACGAGGGGUGCAAGCGUUGCUCGGAAUUAUUGGGCGUAAAGGGCAAGUAGGUGGUCUCAUUUGUCUGGGGUGAAAGCCUUGAGCUUAACUCAAGAAGUGCCCCGGAAACGGUGAGACUCGAGUACUGGAGAGGGUCGUGGAAUUCCCGGUGUAGCGGUGAAAUGCGUAGAGAUCGGGAGGAACACCAGAGGCGAAGGCGGCGACCUGGACAGUUACUGACACUCAACUGCGAAAGCGUGGGGAGCAAACAGGAUUGAGAUACCCGGAG